AUGAAGGCUGGCGGCGUGCCUAAUACAUGCAAGUCGCGCGAACGGACGAGAAGCUUGCUUUUCUGAUGUUAGCGGCGGACGGGUGAGUAACACGUGGAUAACCUACCUAUAAGACUGGGAUAACUUCGGGAAACCGGAGCUAAUACCGGAUAAUAUUUUGAACCGCAUGGUUCAAAAGUGAAAGACGGUCUUGCUGUCACUUAUAGAUGGAUCCGCGCUGCAUUAGCUAGUUGGUAAGGUAACGGCUUACCAAGGCAACGAUGCAUAGCCGACCUGAGAGGGUGAUCGGCCACACUGGAACUGAGACACGGUCCAGACUCCUACGGGAGGCAGCAGUAGGGAAUCUUCCGCAAUGGGCGAAAGCCUGACGGAGCAACGCCGCGUGAGUGAUGAAGGUCUUCGGAUCGUAAAACUCUGUUAUUAGGGAAGAACAUAUGUGUAAGUAACUGUGCACAUCUUGACGGUACCUAAUCAGAAAGCCACGGCUAACUACGUG
rnacentral:rRNA from 1 species